GCCUCUGCGGCGGCAGAACGGGGACCUCUUGGGGAGAGCAGGACUCCGCUGUCACCGCAGAGGGAGCUCACGUGACCCGUCACGGACGCUUGGGAGCGUGCGGCAGGGACGUGUGCAAACUGAGACCUCCUUCCUCCCUGGGGGUCCGGGAGCCCAAAGCCUCCCUCACAUGCUGGUGUGGGUCACCUGAAACGUUCACCCGACAAACUGCCCCCUCCCCCCUCGCUGUAUAACCUCUUCAUGACCCGGUGUCCAUCUGGUGCCAGACGCCCUCCUGUGCCACCAUCCCGGACGAUGGUCCGGCUGCUACAUGGUCAGGGCCACAUCCUCAGAGGCCGACACCCCAGCAAGAAGGCUCACUGUGACUUUGGUGGAAGACGAGCAGAGGGAUGCAGGACAGAGGCUCCCCGCGGGGCAGGAGGCAGCUGGCUUCUCCAAGACUUUCAGCAACACCAACCCUUCCGGGAAAUGUGCUUCUUUUCACAACGUGCAUCAAAUAGAAUAAAACCAUCUAAACAAGCGAGACUCAAAAGCUUGCUUCUGACUUAAGCAAAUGGAUUUCAGUUUGCAGUCUGAGAGUCUGGAGUUACAUUUUGGAGUCACUUUGCACAGUCCUGCUCUUAGAAUAGUUUUC